AAAAAAAAACAAGCCUUAGCUUCGAUGCGAGCGGUGCUCGAGUUCAACUAAAAAAUUUAGAUUUUGUAAAUUAUUAUUCGAUUUGAGUUUUGGUUGAAAAGUUAAUAACUCCGAAUUUAUUUUGGGACAUUAUCGAAUUAAUUUGUUGAAGACGCCAAGAAUAUAAAACUCUAUGCAAUAAAUUAUAUUAUAUGUUUUGAAAAUAUCAGUUAGUAGACUCAGUCGAAUUUAACUCACAAGUUAGAAUAGCAAUGAGGUCAGAAAUGAGGUCAGAAUUAAACCUACGAUUUCAGCUGCAAAUUCAAUUUUAAUCUCUAAAUUUAAGAAUGUAUUGGACUCGGGUUGAGCGUCCAACUUUAGUUACCAUAGAUAUUUAGGGCUUCAAAUGUCCCAUGCGAUUCGAUUUCAAGCCUACGCCGGCCUGAUGUUGUCUACUUCACCGUCGUCGAAUGAUUUUCCCGAAAAGGUAUGAUUUCCCAUUGAGCUCGCGAGCAAAGAGACCUUUGAAGUAAUCUGCAGCCGCCACUCUUUUGAACGCCGCUGGAGUUUGUCGGGUAAUCAAACUAGGUGCAGGACCCAUUUCUCCAUCAUAUUUUGGGCUGUAAAAUGUGGCGAUUGAGAGCCUCUCCUUCACAGAGUUUACAGUUGCACGAUGCUCGAUGCUACGGUAAGCUCCAUUGGUCACAAUCUACAAAACAAGACCUAUUACCUCCAAAAUGUCUCCAAUGUUGACGACGAAGGCACCGGGUAGGGGUUUGACAGGUAGGCUUGCACCUGGAAGAAACCCCAUUCUUUGCAUGCAGAAUCCAGCUUCUUCAACUCCAACUCCGUAUGAUCUCCACUAAGUAAGUUUUCCAUGUCGAUGAUCGGUACAUCGCAGGUAGAAGCAGUGGAG